CACUUGGGGCGGUCUUAUCUUGCAGUCGAGCGGAUGGAUUAAGAGCUUGCUCUUAUGAGGUUAGCGGGGGAGGGAUGAGUAACACGUGGGUAACCUGCCCAUAAGACUGGGAUAACUCCGGGAAACCGGGGCUAAUACCGGAUAACAUUUUGAACCGCAUGGUUCGAAAUUGAAAGGCGGCUUCGGGUGUCACUUAUGGAUGGACCCGCGUCGCAUUAGCUGGUUGGUGAGGUAACGGCUCACCAAUGGAACGAUGCGACGCCGACCUGACAGGGUGAUCAGCCACACUGGGACUGAUACACGGCCCAGACUCCUACGGGAGGCAACAAUGGGGAAUCUUCCGCAAUGGACGAAAGUCUGACGGAUUUCGCCCCGUGAAUGAUGAAGGCUUUCGGGUCGUAAAACUCUGUUGUUUUCUAAGAACAAGUGCUAGUUGAAUAACUGGCACCUUGACGGUACCUAACCACAAAGCCACGGCUAACUACAUGCCAACAUCCGCGGUAAUACGUAGGUGGCAAGCGUUAUCCGGAAUUAUUGGGCUUAAAGCGCGCGCAGGUGGUUUCUUAGAUCUGAUGUGAAAGCCCACGGCUCAGCCGUGAAGGGUCUUUGGAAACUGGAAGACUUGAGUGCAGAAGAGGAUAGUGGAAUUCCAUGUGUACCGAUGAAAUGCAUAGAGAUAUGGAGGAACACCUGUGGCCAGGCGACUUUUCUGCUCUGUAACUGACACUGAAGCGCUAAAGCGUGAUGAGCAUACAGGAUGCACACCCUGGUUGUCCACUCCGUUCUGCGAAGAACGCUAAGUGUAAGAGGGUUUCCACCCUUUAAUGCUGACGUUCACGCAUUAAGCACUCCGCCUGGGGAAUUACGAGCACAACGCUGAAACUUCACAAGAAUCUGGAGGGUGGCGCGCGCUAGCUGUGGAGAAUGUGGUUUUACUCUUAAGCUGCGCCGACAACCAUUAGCCUGGUCUUGACGUCCUCUGAAAAACCCUUAGGAUA
rnacentral:rRNA from 1 species